UACGUAGGGGGCAAGCGUUGUCCGGAAUCAUUGGGCGUAAAGCGCGCGUAGGCGGCCCGGUCAGUCCGCUCUGAAAGUCCAGGGCUCAACCCUGGAAUGCGGGUGGAUACUGCCGGGCUAGAGUCCGGAAGAGGCGAGUGGAAUUCCUGGUGUAGCGGUGGAAUGCGCAGAUAUCAGGAGGAACACCGAUAGCGAAGGCAGCUCGCUGGGACGGUACUGACGCUGAGGCGCGAAAGCGUGGGGAGCGAACAGG
rnacentral:rRNA from 1 species